rnacentral:rRNA from 1 species
UGACGAGUGGCGGACGGGUGAGUAAUGUCUGGGAAACUGCCUGAUGGAGGGGGAUAACUACUGGAAACGGUAGCUAAUACCGCAUAAUGUCGCAAGACCAAAGAGGGGGACCUUCGGGCCUCUUGCCAUCGGAUGUGCCCAGAUGGGAUUAGCUUGUUGGUGGGGUAACGGCUCACCAAGGCGACGAUCCCUAGCUGGUCUGAGAGGAUGACCAGCCACACUGGAACUGAGACACGGUCCAGACUCCUACGGGAGGCAGCAGUGGGGAAUAUUGCACAAUGGGCGCAAGCCUGAUGCAGCCAUGCCGCGUGUAUGAAGAAGGCCUUCGGGUCGUAAAGUACUUUCAGCGGGGAGGAAGGGAGUAAAGUUAAUACCUUUGCUCAUUGACGUUACCCGCAGAAGAAGCACCGGCUAACUCCGUGCCAGCAGCCGCGGUAAUACGGAGGGUGCAAGCGUUAAUCGGAAUUACUGGGCGUAAAGCGCACGCAGGCGGUUUGUUAAGUCAGAUGUGAAAUCCCCGGGCUCAACCUGGGAACUGCAUCUGAUACUGGCAAGCUUGAGUCUCGUAGAGGGGGGUAGAAUUCCAGGUGUAGCGGUGAAAUGCGUAGAGAUCUGGAGGAAUACCGGUGGCGAAGGCGGCCCCUGGACGAAGACUGACGCUCAGGUGCGAAAGCGUGGGGAGCAAACAGG